rnacentral:rRNA from 1 species
AUUGAACGCUGGCGGCAGGCCUAACACAUGCAAGUCGAGCGGAUGAUGGGAGCUUGCUCCUUGAUUCAGCGGCGGACGGGUGAGUAAUGCCUAGGAAUCUGCCUGGUAGUGGGGGACAACGUUUCGAAAGGAACGCUAAUACCGCAUACGUCCUACGGGAGAAAGCAGGGGACCUUCGGGCCUUGCGCUAUCAGAUGAGCCUAGGUCGGAUUAGCUAGUUGGUGGGGUAAUGGCUCACCAAGGCGACGAUCCGUAACUGGUCUGAGAGGAUGAUCAGUCACACUGGAACUGAGACACGGUCCAGACUCCUACGGGAGGCAGCAGUGGGGAAGAUUGGACAAUGGGCGAUAGCCUGAUCCAGCCAUGCCGCGUGUGUGAAGAAGGUCUUCGGAUUGUAAAGCACUUUAAGUUGGGAGGAAGGGUAGUAAGCUAAUACCGUGCUGUUUUGACGUUACCGACAGAAUAAGCACCGGCUAACUCUGUGCCAGCCGCCGCGGUAAGAC